GUUUACAGAAGAGUCUGACCACUUAUGGAAGAAACACUGCCAGAGGGAUUUUAAAAAUGAGAGCCUCCUGGAAUAUGAAUGUUGGCGGGAAAUGUACUUGCGACUUUUCAAUGAAAGAGAAGAAAAGCUGAAGAUGCUUACAAAAAACAUUCUUUCAGCUCAGUCUGAGAAACCGAAAGGUAAUAUCUGUGGACAGCUUUUCAGUUCUCAAAGCUCAGUCUCUUCUGUUUUUUUUGAGACUUACUAUGUGGGGCUUAGUGACAUGUUCGCUCUAAUCACUGAUGCUGUAUAUCUAGGAGAAGGCAUCAAGUAAGGAGGCUGUUUAUAUAUUAAUAUAAAUUGCACACAAAAUGAAUACAUGCAUUGAUACAGCAUGUUAAUGCAUAAUAUAUGCAGCAUGUUGUAGACAAACCUGAGUUUACUGGUUAGACUUCUAGAAAUUGGCUCACAAUCAUAUUCUUAACUGAGUUUUGAACACAGAAAGUGGGGGGGGGGAAGUCACAUUUCCUCUGCUCCUUGCUUCUGCAUUAGGCCGGCAAGUAAAGAUGGCUUAUGUGACCAGUGCAGCAAAGCCACCCAGAAGCAUUCGCCGACAACAGGGAAUCCGUGGAACAGCAGGAUCUGUCACCCAACUUCACCUCACAGAUAAGUGGAAAAAAAGGUCUCCAGAAAGCAGAGAUGGAAACAAUAAUUCAUCAAAUCUGAACUCUGCUAGCAGCAGUGGAAGCUCUAGCUCAAAUGGAAUGACUCAAGAUGGAAAGAAGCCUAUUAAAAAAAUUGCACCAAUCAUGAAGAAAACUUUAAAAGCAUUGAAGUGUAGAGCUGCACGGCGGUAAAAUUGAGGACGUGUAUGGGAAGCUUAUGGGAAUGUUUGUAUAUUGUGCUACAGUUAAUGGAAGUAAAAUUAAUGUUAACUUCCCAAUUUACCUUUGCAAAAAUAGUUGUUGUAUGCUGCAGGAGCAAAUGAUUUACAAUAAAAAAGAAACCCUGGA
rnacentral:lncRNA from 1 species